GACGAACGCUGGCGGCGUGCUUAACACAUGCAAGUCGAACGGGCCCGCUCUCUUUUUUGGGGGUGGGUUGAGUGGCGAACGGGUGAGUAUCACGUGAGUAACCUGCCCCCUGCUCCUGGAUAACUGCUUGAAAGGGCGGCUAAUACGGGGUGUGCCGGCUGGUCCGCAUGGGCCUGGUCGGGAUAGUUUCAUCUUCGGGUGUUUCGGUGGGGGAUGGGCUCGCGGCCUAUCAGCUUGUUGGUGGGGUGAUGGCCCACCAAGGCGGUGGCGGGUAGCCGGCCUGAGGGGGUGGGCGGCCACACGGGGACUGAGACACGGCCCAGACUCCUGCGGGAGGCAGCAGUGGGGGGUAUUGCACAAUGGGCGGAAGCCUGAUGCAGCGACGUCGCGUGAGGGAUGGAGGCCUUCGGGUUGUGAACCUCUUUCUCCGGUGGUGAAGGCCCUGUCCGUUGCGGCGGGGUUGACGGUAGCCGGGUAUGAAGCGCCGGCUAACUACGUG
rnacentral:rRNA from 1 species